rnacentral:rRNA from 1 species
UACACAUGCAAGUCGUACGAGAAAAUCCGUUUCGGCGGAUGAGUAAAGUGGCGCACGGGUGAGUAACGCGUGGAUAAUCCGCCUUUAAGCUGGGAAUAACUCAUCGAAAGGUGGGCUAAUACCCGAUAAUGCUAUGCAGCUAAGGUUGUAUAGUCAAAGAGAGCCUCUGCUUGCAAGCCCUCACUUAGAGAUGAGUCCGCGUACCAUUAGCUAGUUGGUAGGGUAAUGGCCUACCAAGGCGAUGAUGGUUAGCUGGUCUGAGAGGAUGAUCAGCCACACUGGAACUGAGACACGGUCCAGACUCCUACGGGAGGCAGCAGUGGGGAAUAUUGCACAAUGGGCGAAAGCCUGAUGCAGCAACGCCGCGUGAGUGAUGACGGCCUUCGGGUUGUAAAGCUCUGUCUUUGGGGACGAUAAUGACGGUACCCAAGGAGGAAGCCACGGCUAACUACGUGCCAGCAGCCGCGGUAAUACGUAGGUGGCAAGCGUUGUCCGGAUUUACUGGGCGUAAAGGG